rnacentral:rRNA from 1 species
AACGUAGGAGACGAACGUUAUCCGGAGUUACUGGGCGUAAAGGGCGUGUAGGCGGACUGCUAAGUCUGGCGUGAAAGCUCUCGGCUAAACCGGGAGAGGUCGUUGGAUACUGGCGGACUAGAGGGUGGUAGAGGCGUGUGGAAUUCCGGGUGUAGUGGUGAAAUGCGUAGAGAUCCGGAGGAACACCAGUGGCGAAGGCGACACGCUGGGCCAUACCUGACGCUAAAGCGCGACAGCAUGGGGAGCAAACGGGAUUAGAAACCCCUGUAGUCC